GACGAACGCUGGCGGCGUGCUUAACACAUGCAAGUCGAACGGUGAAGCGCCUUCCUUUUUGGUGGGUGUGGAUGAGUGGCGAACGGGUGAGUAACACGUGAGUAACCUGCUCCCUUCUUCUGGAUAACCGCAUGAAAGUGUGGCUAAUACGGGAUAUUCUGGGUCUGUCGCAUGAUGGGUCUGGGAAAGAUAUUGUUUCGGUGGGGGAUGGGCUCGCGGCCUAUCAGCUUGUUGGUGGGGUGAUGGCCUACCAAGGCGGUGACGGGUAGCCGGCCUGAGAGGGUGGACGGUCACACUGGGACUGAGCCACGGCCCAGACUCCUACGGGAGGCAGCAGUGGGGAAUAUGGCACAAUGGGCGCAAGCCUGAUGCAGCGACGCCGCGUGAGGGAUGGAGGCCUUCGGGUUGUGAACCUCUUUCGCCAGUGAAGCAGGCCUGCCUCGUUUGUGGGUGGGUUGACGGUAGCUGGAUAAGAAGCGCCGGCUAACUACGUG
rnacentral:rRNA from 1 species